AAUACGAAGGGGGCUAGCGUUGUUCGGAAUUACUGGGCGUAAAGCGCACGUAGGCGGAUUGUUAAGUGAGGGGUGAAAUCCCAGGGCUCAACCCUGGAACUGCCUUUCAUACUGGCAAUCUAGAGUCCAGAAGAGGUGAGUGGAAUUCCGAGUGUAGAGGUGAAAUCCGUAGAUAUUCGGAGGAACGCCAGUGGCGAAGGCGGCUCACUGGUCUGGAACUGACGCUGAGGUGCGAAAGCGUGGGGAGCAAACAG
rnacentral:rRNA from 1 species